ACUGAGGGAGGAGUCAAGAUGGCAGAGAAGUAGUAGGCUGAGAUGACAUCAGGUAGCAGGAGAUCAGCUAGAUAAUUUAUCAAACCAUUCUGAACACCUACAAAUCCAAGAGGAGAUUGAAGAGAUGAAGAGCUGUUUCUAGUUUUCUAGAAACAUAAAAUCAACCAUUUUCUGAAAGUUUCAGGGUUAGUUUCCUGGUUGGUUAACACAUCAAGGUGUUAUGACGGUGAUGAGCCCAGACCGGUCAAACUCCAUCCUCCAUGGCCCAUGCAUCACUUCAAUUUAGCUGUUCCUGAGUUGUAUCCUUUAAAAUGAACUAGUUAUGAAGUCCAUUUUCUGAGGUCUUUACUAUUAUAAACAUCAUCCUAUAUUUGCAGAAAUGGAGCACAGAAAGAUGAAGUGAUCUUUCCAAACUUAUGAGCGUUGUCAACCAGAUUGGCCCUUUGAUGAAACACAGAUGGAUCAAGUGAUGUGUGGGACCCCACACAUGGCUCAAGCCCAGGAACCCUUAGCACACACAAAAGAUGUCUGAUCAGACUGUCAACAAUGCAUGAAACACACUGAGGCAUAACAGAAUGAGCACUGGACUCAGAGUCAGAAGAUUGUUUCUAGAUCUCGGCUACUGUGAAUCAUGCUGUAAUGAACAUUGAAGUGCAGAUAUCUCUUCGAGGAAAGAAAGAUGUGAGAUGAAGCUGAAACAGUGAACAAGAAGUGAGAGCACUCAGCAACCUCAUACUACUGAACCCAGUAAAAAAAA